GGGCGGCUAGCUCAGUGGCAGAGCACUUGCUUGACAUGCAAGGGGUCACAGGUUCAAGUCCUGUGCCGCCCACCA
rnacentral:tRNA from 1 species